CAAUAGCGUAUAUUAAAGUUGUUGCGGUUAAAAAGCUCGUAGUUGGAUUUCUGCUGAGAACGACCGGUCCGCCCUUUGGGUGUGUAUCUGGCUCUUUCUUGGCAUCUUCUUGGUGAACGUUGCUGCACUUGACUGUGUGGAGCGCUACCCAGGACUUUUACUUUGAGGAAAUUAGAGUGUUUCAAGCAGGCAUACGCCUUGAAUACAUUAGCAUGGAAUAAUAAGAUAGGACCUCGGUUCUAUUUUGUUGGUUUCUAGAGCUGAGGUAAUGAUUAAGAGGGACAGUCGGGGGCAUUCGUAUUCCGUUGUCAGAGGUGAAAUUCUUGGAUUUACGGAAGACGAACAUCUGCGAAAGCAUUUGCCAAGGAUGUUUUCAUUGA
rnacentral:rRNA from 1 species